AUUGUAAACAAUUUCAAAAAUGCCAUUAGUAAUAUCUUACUGUAUUCUUCAAUAGUGGGGCUAUUUCUCAAAAGGAUGUACUUUUCAGAAUCUAGGAUUUAAGUUAAAUUGGGCUAAGAUGAAAAGGAUGUCAAGGUAAUCAAAACUUUGGGAUUAGGCUGGGCACAGUGGCUCAUGCUUGUAAUCCCAGCACUUUGGGAGGCCGAAGCAUGACGAUCAUUUGAGCCUAGGAGUUUGAGGCCAGCCUGGGCAACAUAGCAAGAUGAUAUAUCCACAAAAACUACAACAAAUUAGCCAGGCGUGGUGAUGCAUGUCUGUAGUUCCAGCUACUUGCAAGGUGAGGUGGGAGAGUCACUUGAGUCUGGGAGGUCGAGGCUGCAGUGAGCCAUGAUUGCACUUUAGCCUGAGGGAGAGACUGAGACCCCGUCUCAAAAGAAAAAAAAACUCUGAGGAAACAAAGAAACAAACAACAACAACAACAACAAAAAUGGUGGUAUUACAUGCGAGCCAUGCAGACCCAAAGUGGUUAUGUGUAUGAUAUAAACUGCCUCAAUGUAAUUCUUUUUUGUUUUGUUUUUGAGAUGGAGUCUUGCUCUGUUGCCCAGGCUGGAGGGCAGUGGCACGAUCUUGGCUCUCUGCAACCUCCGCCUCCCAGGUUCAAGCAAUUCUUGUGCCUCAGCCUUCUGAGUAGCUGUGACUGCAGGCGUGUACCCCAUCACACCUGGCUAUUUUGAUUUUUUGAAUUAAUUUAUUUUCUUUUUGUAUUUUAGCAGAGAUGGUGGGUUUUGCCAUGUUGGCCAGGCUGGUCUUGAAUUACUGGCCUCAACUGAUGCACCAGCUUCAGCCUUCCAUUGUGCGGGGAUUACAGGCAUGAGCCACUGUGCCCUGCCUCAGUCAGGUUUCAGAACCACUGAUCUGGAGAGAUGAAGGAGGUUGGUAGUAUGAGGCAGACUCUGCAACCGUGCAUGGGCGUUAGAGGAAAAUAAUGGUGCCAGGCAAAGCAUUAGCACUGAUGCUUUAUUUUAUAAUCUGCUCAGCUCUCCUGGAAUGAGUGAUUGCCCUGGGGAGUUUAAACAAACAAACCAACAAAGCUAUGUUUGCAAAAAGAAAUUGCUAUCUUAUUUGAUGUUCUAAUGCUUUACAUGCAAACAAUCCCGACCACCUCUUCACUAUUGCCUGUCAUUUUUCCUAUCACAGCCCUCUGUUUAUUUUCCUAAUAGCAUUUACCACAAUUAGCAAUUAUUACACUCAUUGUCUGCCUCCUCUCAUUACAAUAAUAGCUAACUGUCUCUGUGUAAAAACAAGGUUCAUAAUUCUUGUUCACCUCCUCCUCACACAGCCCCUGAUAAAUAUUUGAAUGAAUGAAACAAAAAUAGUACUCAAUCAACCAAUGUGCCAAUCAAAUUUGCUAUGCCAUAAAAAUCACUGCCUGCCUUGUGGCCCCAAACCAGC
rnacentral:lncRNA from 1 species